rnacentral:tRNA from 1 species
GGGGACGUGGUGAAAUUGGUAGACACGCAGCAUUAAGGAUGCUGUGGAGAAAUCCUUGGGGGUUCAAGUCCCCCCGUCCCCACCA